rnacentral:rRNA from 1 species
CCUACGGGGCGCAGCAGUGGGGAAUAUUGCACAAUGGGGGAAACCCUGAUGCAGCGACGCCGCGUGAGUGAAGAAGUAUCUCGGUACGUAAAGCUCUAUCAGCAGGGAAGAAAAUGACGGUACCUGACUAAUAAGCCCCGGCUAAUACGUGGCAGCAGCCGCGGUUAUAGGUAGGGGGCAAGCGUUAUCCGGAUUUUCUGGGUGUACAGGGAGCGUAGACGGCAGCACAAGUCUGGAGUGAAAUCCCGGGGCUUAACCCCGGAAAUGCUUUGGAAACGGUGCGGCUGGAUUGCAGGAGGGGUAAGCGGAAUUCCUAGUGUAGCGGUGAAAUGCGUAGAUAGUAGGAGGACCACCGGUGGCGAAGGCGGCUUACUGGACUGUAACUGACGUUGAGGCUCGAAAGCGUGGGGAGCAAACAGGAUUAGAUACCCGAGUAGUC